rnacentral:lncRNA from 1 species
UUUGUUAAUCAAUUUCUUAGAUUUACUAUUGUAAAACCCUAUGGCGUUCAUAUAUCAUUUCCUUAUGCAACAUCAGGACGAACAAAAGAAUAAGAAAACUUGCGAUAUCGACACAGAAGAACAUGACAAACUUAGAUUAACAAUAGCGUUUGAUAUUGUCUUCUCCUUAGAGUGUCAAAUGUUACAAUUUUUACAAGAUGCAGAUGAAUAUAAUAAUAUAAUAUACGUAAAACCAUCCUCUCAACUAGAUCGAGCUGAAAAAACAAAGGUGAGCUGGGCUGGGCUUAAGAGAAGAAGCCGAAGGUGUCGAAAAUGGUAGUGUGAAGUGGGUCACUCAAGUGGGUAGCCCAGUUGUUAAGUGGGCCUUUUCCAGUAGCAGCAGCUUGGACAGCAAAGCCCAAGAAUGCAACCAUAGCAAGACGAGCAUGCUUGAUCUCAGCAAGUUGAAGUGUGGCCUUUUUCUCCGGGUCAGCAGCAAGGCCCAAUGGGUCGAAGAAUGAUCCACCAGGGUAAAGCCUCUUUUCUGGGUCAAGCUCGGCGUUUCUUUGGAAUUCAAUGUAUCCAAUAACAAGGACCUCAACCCAGAUCAAUGUUGUAAUGGAGAAUGGGAGUGGUUGCCCCAAGUAGGAUGAUCCUUCAACCAACUCAACCUAUGCAAGUACAAUAAAGAGUUAAAUGAGUUAGAAAUGGCAAGUACAACACAAUCACAAGUUAAACUAUACUAUACUGACGUCUGGGAUUAAUUUUGGGAUGAGUUUAUCUCACGUUUUAAUUAGGAUAAAAUUAUGGUAUAACUAAACUCGGAAUUGUAGAGUUUUUAAAUUAUAUGAUGACUUGUUUCCCAACCAAAGGACCACAUAAUGUAAAUACUUUAAUCCUAUAUACCUUCUAGAGCAGCAAGGUGACAAAUUAAAUAUCCCUUUCAGGAAAAACUCAUCCAUACUCGAUGAACUUCCAACAUUAUUUAAUCAUAGUUAUAAUAUAAAUUUUGACCUCAUUAAAUUAGUUAACCAACUAUAUGGUAUAAACGACGAGUGCAGUUAAAUGUAUAUCGCUCCUCAACUACACUAUGCAAUUUCUAGCUUAAACUGUCCAUAAAACAUCAAAAUUUUCCACUUUAGGUUUGAUCGCGCGUAAAAUCAAGUGAUUAGAAACUUUGUUUUCAUACUUUCUUGAUCUAUUUUUUUGAUUUAUCUCAAGCUCGAUCACGAGCAUAUUGCUUUUUUUUUUUUGCACCAAAGUUUCUAAUAAAUAUUGAUGAUGUUUAAAUUCUGUUCCCAAUGGGAUUGUAAUCCCAAUUUAGCAACAUAGUAAAUCCACAAAUUCGAAACUAGAUAGGCAACCAUGGACAAUGAGGAAGGAAUAAUCACAAGCACCAUGCACAAGCCUACUAUUCAGGCAUCAAAAUGAAAUACGGAAAGUUGGAAAUAAAGUACGGAUCCAAGAUUUUGAAUUAAUAGUAUGUAUUACAACAGAGUUAUUACUCUUUAAUUACAUUUUAUGCAAAUAUAGUAUAGAUAUAAAUUUUUACUUAAAACUUUUCAUACAUAUUUAAUUCAAAUAAGCAUUUAGUGGGUAUAUAUAUGCUUACAAUUACAAAUGACGCUGAGCAUGAAUUAACAUGUAAUAAGAUUUAUCUAUUCAAAAAUCAAAGAAAGUAAUGUAUCAGUACUGCAAAAGAUUAACUAGGGAACUUAAAUUAUGUAGCUAUCAACUUAAAUUUGUUCAUUGUUUUAGACUUUUAUUACUACCAGUAAAAUUUUAGCACAUGUCUUAUAUUCUUGGUAGCUAGUUCCAAUUUCUUAUUGUCAGUCAAUUAUCAGUAGUUAUUUUAAAGUGAUAAUUUAGCACAUGUCUUAUAUUCCUCCGUUUCAGUGAACUCAUUUGGCUGCAUACAGAUAAAUUAUUUUUAAAUAAGAAAAGAAAUUAUUCUUUGUUACACGAACUAAAAAGAAAAUAUAUUUACAUAAAUUGAAUAUAAACUAAGUUAAUCUCAGGUUAUGAUACGUUCAUGCAAAAGCAAAAAAUGCAGUAGGUAGUACCUUUCCGGCGUCUUGCCAUGUAAUACCAGUGAGCCAUUCAACAGUCAAAGCACCAAGCGUAGCCAACAUAGCCCAUCUCCCAUGGAUCAGCUCACAUUCUCUGAACCUCUGCAGUCCAAACACCUCACUGUACGGCUGGAACGGUGUCGAUUUCACAUCAGCA